AUUGCCCUAGUAACGGCGAGUGAAGCGGCAACAGCUCAAAUUUGAAAUCUGGCCUCCUUCGGGUGGUCCGAGUUGUAAUUUGCAGAGGGUGCUUUGGCGUCGGCAGCGGUCUAAGUUCCUUGGAACAGGACAUCACAGAGGGUGAGAAUCCCGUACGUGGUCGCCUGCCUUCGCCGUGUAAAGCCCCUUCGACGAGUCGAGUUGUUUGGGAAUGCAGCUCUAAAUGGGAGGUAAAUUUCUUCUAAAGCUAAAUACUGGCCAGAGACCGAUAGCGCACAAGUAGAGUGAUCGAAAGAUGAAAAGCACUUUGGAAAGAGAGUCAAACAGCACGUGAAAUUGUUGAAAGGGAAGCGCUUGCCGCCAGACUUGCCCGUAGUUGCUCAUCGGAACUCUUUGCUCCGAGCACUCUUCUGCGGGCAGGCCAGCAUCAGUUUGGGCGACCGGAUAAAGGCCUCUGUCAUGUAUCUUCCUUCGGGAUGACCUUAUAGGGGAGGCGUAAUGCGGCCAGCCCGGACUGAGGUCCGCGCAUCUGCUAGGAUGCUGGCGUAAUGGCUGUAAGCGGCCCGUCUUGAAACACGGACCAAGGAGUCUAACAUCUAUGCGAGUGUUUGGGUGUCAAGCCCGGGCGCGUAAUGAAAGUGAACGGAGGUGGGAACCCUCUUCGGGGGGCGCACCAUCGACCGAUCCUGAUGUCUUCGGAUGGAUUUGAGUAAGAGCAUAGCUGUUGGGACCCGAAAGAUGGUGAACUAUGCUUGAAUAGGGUGAAGCCAGAGG
rnacentral:rRNA from 1 species